rnacentral:miRNA from 1 species
UCACAGCCCUUCCGCCCCCCUU